rnacentral:rRNA from 1 species
UGGGGAAUAUUGCACAAUGGGCGAAAGCCUGAUGCAGCAACGCCGCGUGAGUGAUGAAGGCCUUCGGGUUGUAAAGCACUUUUGUCCGGAAAGAAAUCCUUGGCUCUAAUACAGUCGGGGGAUGACGGUACCGGAAGAAUAAGCACCGGCUAACUACGUGCCAGCAGCCGCGGUAAUACGUAGGGUGCAAGCGUUAAUCGGAAUUACUGGGCGUAAAGCGUGCGCAGGCGGUUUGCUAAGACCGAUGUGAAAUCCCCGGGCUCAACCUGGGAACUGCAUUGGUGACUGGCAGGCUAGAGUAUGGCAGAGGGGGGUAGAAUUCCACGUGUAGCAGUGAAAUGCGUAGAGAUGUGGAGGAAUACCGAUGGCGAAGGCAGCCCCCUGGGCCAAUACUGACGCUCAUGCACGAAAGCGUGGGGAGCAAACAGGAUUAGAUACCCCUGGUAGUCCACGCCCUAAACGAUGUCAACUAGUUGUUGGGGGAUUCAUUUCCUUAGUAACGUAGCUAACGCGUGAAG